GGAAGUAAAAGUCGUAACGAGGUCUCCGUUGGUGAACCAGCGGAGGGAUCAUUACCGAGUUUACAACUCCCAAACCCCUAUGUGAACGUUACCAAACUGUUGCCUCGGCGGGAAAUUCAUGCCCCGGGCGCGUCGCAGCCCCGGACCAAGGCGCCCGCCGGAGGACCAACCAAAACUCUUUUGUAUGUCCCUCGCGGACUUUUAUAAUUCUGAACCAUCUCGGCGCCCCUAGCGGGCGUUUCGAAAAUGAAUCAAAACUUUCAACAACGGAUCUCUUGGUUCUG
rnacentral:misc_RNA from 1 species